GACGAACGCUGGCGGCGUGCUUAACACAUGCAAGGCGAACGGAAAGGCCCUGCUUUUGUGGGGUGCUCGAGUGGCGAACGGGUGAGUAACACGUGAGUAACCUGCCCUUGACUUUGGGAUAACUUCAGGAAACUGGGGCUAAUACCGGAUAGGAGCUCCUGCUGCAUGGUGGGGGUUGGAAAGUUUCGGCGGUUGGGGAUGGACUCGCGGCGUAUCAGCGUGUGGGUGGGGUAGUGGCUUACCAAGGCUUUGACGGGUAGCCGGCCUGAGAGGGUGACCGGCCACAUUGGGACUGGGGUACGGCCCAGCCUCCUACGGGAGGCAGCAGUGGGGUAUAUUGCACACUGGGCGGAAGCCUGAUGCGGCAACGCCGCGUGCGGGAUGACGGCCUUCGGGUUGUAAACCGCUUUCGCCUGUGACGAAGCGUGAGUGACGGUAAUGGGUAAAGAAGCACCGGCUAACUACGUG
rnacentral:rRNA from 1 species